rnacentral:lncRNA from 1 species
AUCUCUUUGAAGAUACCCAGUGUUCCAAGGCAUCUCAUUCCGUAUGCUUAUGCAAAAAUAUGAUAAUAUCUAAAUUCUGUGUAUUUAAGCUAAAAAUUGUAAGCUGACAGAUCUCUGUUGGAGCUUAAUAAAGCUCCACAAAUGUUACGAUCUCAGCUUUGACUAAAUUAGGGUUUUAUAUUGAACCUCUUAGUAAUUUUCCAUGUUUUCCAUUCAGAGGUACGGAGCCAGGUAUGAGUCAGAGAAGCCUUACUGUUCUAAUUCCACACUUACUCUGCAUGUAGAAAUGACCUUUUGAAGUCAAAGAGUCCCAGGCAGAAGGGAUCUCAGAAACUGCCACACGGAACCAAGAAAUAUCCAAUGGAAGGAGGAAAGAGGACAUCCUGGGAACCCUGAAGUGGGCAGGAACCAGCGGAAGUAGAAGACACUCUUAUCACAUGUCACAUGCUUUCCAGUAUGGGGAAACCAUGCAAGAUGCAGGUGCCUGAGGGCACAGUGAACACCCAGGAAUUGGCACCCUUCAACACUGUCUACAGCUCUGAGCCUAACACUCCACUGAAAGAAGAACUAGUAUGUGGAAAUAAGUCCUAG